UAGGGAAUCUUCGGCAAUGGACGAAAGUCUGACCGAGCAACGCCGCGUGAGUGAAGAAGGUUUUCGGAUUGUAAAACUCUGUUGUUAGAGAAGAACAAGGACGUUAGUAACUGAACGUCCCCUGACGGUAUCUAACCAGAAAGCCACGGCUAACUACGUGCCAGCAGCCGCGGUAAUACGUAGGUGGCAAGCGUUGUCCGGAUUUAUUUGGCGUAAAGCGAGCGCAGGCGGUUUCUUAAGUCUGAUGUGAAAGCCCACGGCUCAACCGGGGAGGGUCAUUGGAAACUGGGAGACUUGAGUGCAGAAGAGGAGAGUGGAAUUCCAUGUGUAGCGGUGAAAUGCGUAGAUAUAUGGAGGAACACCAGUGGCGAAGGCGGCUCGCUGGUCUGUAACUGACGCUGAGGCUCGAAAGCGUGGGGAGCAAACAGG
rnacentral:rRNA from 1 species